rnacentral:rRNA from 1 species
AGAGUUUGAUCCUGGCUCAGGACGAACGCUGGCGGCGCGCCUAACACAUGCAAGUCGAACGAGCGAGAGAGAGCUUGCUUUCUCAAGCGAGUGGCGAACGGGUGAGUAACGCGUGAGGAACCUGCCUCAAAGAGGGGGACAACAGUUGGAAACGACUGCUAAUACCGCAUAAGCCCACGGGUCGGCAUCGACCAGAGGGAAAAGGAGCAAUCCGCUUUGAGAUGGCCUCGCGUCUGAUUAGCUAGUUGGUGAGGUAACGGCCCACCAAGGCAACGAUCGGUAGCCGGACUGAGAGGUUGAACGGCCACAUUGGGACUGAGACACGGCCCAGACUCCUACGGGAGGCAGCAGUGGGGAAUAUUGCACAAUGGGGGAAACCCUGAUGCAGCGACGCCGCGUGGAGGAAGAAGGUCUUCGGAUUGUAAACUCCUGUUGUUGAGGAAGAUAAUGACGGUACUCAACAAGGAAGUGACGGCUAACUACGUGCCAGCAGCCGCGGUAAAACGUAGGUCACAAGCGUUGUCCGGAAUUACUGGGUGUAAAGGGAGCGCAGGCGGGAAGACAAGUUGGAAGUGAAAUCCAUGGGCUCAACCCAUGAACUGCUUUCAAAACUGUUUUUCUUGAGUAGUGCAGAGGUAGGCGGAAUUCCCGGUGUAGCGGUGGAAUGCGUAGAUAUCGGGAGGAACACCAGUGGCGAAGGCGGCCUACUGGGCACCAACUGACGCUGAGGCUCGAAAGUGUGGGUAGCAAACAGGAUUAGAUACCCUGGUAGUCCACACCGUAAACGAUGAUUACUAGGUGUUGGAGGAUUGACCCCUUCAGUGCCGCAGUUAACACAAUAAGUAAUCCACCUGGGGAGUACGACCGCAAGGUUGAAACUCAAAGGAAUUGACGGGGCCCGCACAAGCAGUGGAGUAUGUGGUUUAAUUCGACGCAACGCGAAGAACCUUACCAAGUCUUGACAUCCCUUGACGAACAUAGAAAUAUGUUUUCUCUUCGGAGCAAGGAGACAGGUGGUGCAUGGUUGUCGUCAGCUCGUGUCGUGAGAUGUUGGGUUAAGUCCCGCAACGAGCGCAACCCUUACUGUCAGUUACUACGCAAGAGGACUCUGGCAGGACUGCCGUUGACAAAACGGAGGAAGGUGGGGAUGACGUCAAAUCAUCAUGCCCUUUAUGACUUGGGCUACACACGUACUACAAUGGCGUUAAACAAAGAGAAGCAAGACCGCGAGGUGGAGCAAAACUCAGAAACAACGUCCCAGUUCGGACUGCAGGCUGCAACUCGCCUGCACGAAGUCGGAAUUGCUAGUAAUCGUGGAUCAGCAUGCCACGGUGAAUACGUUCCCGGGCCUUGCACACACCGCCCGUCA